ACGGGAGGCAGCAGUGGGGGAUAUUGCACAAUGGGGGAAACCCUGAUGCAGCGACGCCGCGUGGGUGAUGAAGUAUUUCGGUAUGUAAAGCUCUAUCAGCAGGAAAGAUAAUGACGGUACCUGACUAAGAAGCACCGGCUAAAUACGUGCCAGCAGCCGCGGUAAUACGUAUGGUGCAAGCGUUAUCCGGAUUUACUGGGUGUAAAGGGAGCGCAGACGGCAUGGCAAGCCAGAUGUGAAAGGCAGGGGCUCAACUUCUGGACUGCAUUUGGAACUGUCAAGCUAGAGUAUCGGAGAGGUAAGUGGAAUUCCUAGUGUAGCGGUGAAAUGCGUAGAUAUUAGGAGGAACACCAGUGGCGAAGGCGGCUUACUGGACGAUAACUGACGUUGAGGCUCGAAAGCGUGGGGAGCAAACAGGAUUAGAUACCCUGGUA
rnacentral:rRNA from 1 species